GACAUGGUUUCAUCAUGUUUGGCCAGGCUGGUCUCGAACUCUGGACCUCAGGUGGUCCGCCUGCCUUGGCCUCCCAAAAUGUUGGGAUUACAGGCAUGAGCCACCGCGCCUGGCCAGCUGGAGAGUUUUUAAAGCAGAGCUACCCAGGAGGCAGAAGCAGGAGGAUUGCUUGAGCCCAGGAGUUUGAGGCUGCAGUGAGCUAUGAUCUUGCCACUGAAUUCUAGCCUGGGCGACAAAGCAGGAAAAAAGUGUGGAUGGAGGACCAGCAACAUCUGUAUCACCUGAAGAACAAAAGGUGGAAAAGGCAAUAUAAUCUUGGUACAACAUUUGACUCAGCUGCAAUGAAUAAGACUUACAUAGUUGUAUAAGGUUUGAAAUUUCAGCUAGGCAGCUUUGAUCCCACCACCUGUAGCCACUGAGGUUCACAGGCUGUUUGAGAUAUUGUGUUCAAUUGUGCUGGGCUUGUUUUGCUGCUUAUUGAGUGAUGACGAGCAAUGUAUUCGCUACUGAGAUAUUUUGCAGAAAAAGGAAGAGAUGUCUUCAGCUCAAAUGCUAUCAAACUUGGGAAAUAAACAGCCUUGUUGCUCACACAAAGCCUGUUUGGUGGUCUCUUCACAUGGACGUGCGUGACAUUUGGUGCCGAAGACCUGGGACAGGAGGACUCCUCUGGGAGACCGGUCCCCUGUCCUCACCCUCACUCCAUGAGGAGAUCCACUUGCAACCUCGGGUCCUCAGACCAAUCAGCCCAAGGAACAUCUCAUGAAUUUCAAGUCGGGACUCCAGUGGAAAUCGGACUGUCCAACCUGGCAGCUACUCCCAGAGCCCCUGGAACUCUGGCCCAAGGCUCUCUGACUGACUCCUUCCCAGAUCUUCUCGGCUUAGCAGCUGAAGACUGACACUGCUUGAUCGCCUCAGAAGCCCCCUGGACCAUCACUGAUGCUGAGCUUUGGGUAACUCUUACAGUGGAGGAUUCCCAGCCAUAUGAAGACACCUAGCCGGACGAUCAGUUCUUGUUAAAAACCUGAUCCCUCAAACUCUACAACCUCGAUGGACCAGACCCUACUUAGUCAUCUAUAGUGCGCCAACUGCCAUCUGCCUGCAGGAUCCUCCCCACUGGGUUCACCGUUCCAGAAUAAAGCUGUAUUUGUCGGACAGCCAGACUAAUCCCUCCUCCUCCUCCUGGAAGUCGCAAACACUCUCCCCUACUUCCGUUAAACUCACUCGCAUUUCUGAAGAACAGUAAUAACCCUCAUGAGCCUAAUACAUCUCUUCAUUCUAUUAGGUCUGUUCGUCCUUACCCUACUUUUUGCAACAGGGCUUUACACAGUCACCCUCACUAUUUGGACUGUGCCCAAAAAACUUGUCAUCCCUACUAUCUUCUGUCUAGUCAUACUCCUAUUCACCGUUCUCAAUUACUCAUAAAUGCCCUGCUUUUGUUUACACUGCCGGUUUACACUGUUUCUCUAAGCCAUCACAGCUGGUAUCUCCUGGUGCUAUCCCCAAACUGCCACUCUUAACUCCCUCUUAGAGUGGAUAGAUGAUCUUUGCUGGCAGGGCACCCUCCAAUACUUCCACCCUGAUAAAGUUCUAUUCUUUACUUUUAUACUCACUCUUAUUCUCAUUCCCAUCCUUAUGCCACCCUCUACCUCUCCCCAGCUAUCUCCACCAUACUAUCAAUCUUAUUCACUCUCUCCUAGCCGUUUCUAAUCCCUCCUUAGCGAACAAUUGCUGGCUUUGCAUUUCCCUUUCUUCCUGUGCCUACACAGCUGUCCCUGCCUUACAUACAGACUGGUCAACAUCUCAUGUCUCCCUACACCUCCGAACUUCCUGUAACAGCCCUCACCUUUACCCUUCUUUACUUUCUAGACAGGUCCAGCAAGACCUCCCCAGACAUUUCACAUCAGCAAGCUGCCACCCUCCUGCACACUUACUUAAAAAACUUUUCUCCUUCUAUCAACUCUAUUCCCCCCAUAUUUGGACCCCUCACAACACAAACUACUAUUCCUGUGGCCGCUUCUUUAUGCAUCUCUCAGCAAAGACCCACUGGAAUUCCCCUGGGUAACCUUUCACCUUCUCGAUGUUCCUUCACUCUUUAUCUCCAAAGUCCAACUACACGCAUCACUGAAACAAUUGGAGCCUUCCAGGUCCGUAUUACAGAUAAGCACUGUAUCAAUACAGGCAAACUUAAAAACAUUAGCAGCAAUUACUGCUUAGGAAGACACUUACCCUGUAUUUCACUCCAUCCUUGGCUACCUUCCCCUUGCUCAUGAGACUGUCCUCCCAGGCCCUCUUCUUGUUUACUUAUACCCAGCCCCAAAAAUAACACUGAAAGGUUGCUCGUAGACACUCAACGUUUUCUCAUACACCAUGAAAAUCAAACCUCCCCCUCUACACAGUUACUACGUCAGUCCCCAUUACAACCUCUGACAGCUGCCGCCCUAGCUGAAGCCCUAGGAGUCUGGAUAAAAGACACCCCUUCCAGCUCUCCUUCUCAUCUUUUUACUUUGCAUUUCCAGUUUUGCCUUGCACAAGGCAAAGGAUCCUUCUUCCUCUGUGGAUCCUCUAUCUACAUGUGUCUACCUGUUAAUUGGACAGGCACAUGCACACUAGUUUUCCUUACUCCCAAAAUUCAAUUUGCAAAUGUAACCAAAGAGCUUCCUGUUCCCCUUAUGAAGAGCUUCCUGUUCCCCUUAUGACACUGACAUGCAAAAAAAGUUAUUCCACUAAUUCCCUUGCUUGUCGGUUUAGGACUUUCUACCUCCACUAUUGCUCUCGGUGCUGGAAUAGCAGGCAUUUCAACCUCUGUCACAACCUUCCAUAGCCUCUCUAAUGACUUCUCUGCUAGCAUCACAGACAUACCACAAACUUUAUCAGUCCUUCAGGCCCAAGUUGACUCUCUAGCUGCAGUUGUCCUCCAAACCGCCAAGGCCUUGCCUUACUCACUGCUGAAAAAGGAGGGCUCUGUAUAUUUUUAAAAGAAGGGUGUUGUUUUUACCGAAAUCAAUCUGGCCUGGUGUAUGACAACAUAAAAAACACUCAGUAAUAGAGCCCAAAAACUUGCCAACCAAUUACACUGAACCCCCUUGGACAUUCUCUAAUUGGAUGUCCUGGGUCCUCCCUAGUCUUAGUCCUCUAAUACCUGUUUUUCUCCUUCUCUUAUUUGGACCUUGUGUCUUCCAUUUGGUUUCUCAAUUCAUACAAAACCACAUC